rnacentral:rRNA from 1 species
GUCGAGCGGAUUUAUCCUUCGGGAUAAGUUAGCGGCGGACGGGUGAGUAACACGUAGGUAACCUGCCUAUAAGAUCGGGAUAACUAUCGGAAACGAUAGCUAAGACCGGAUAACUGGUUUUCUCGCAUGAGAGAAUUAUGAAACACGGAGCAAUCUGUGGCUUAUAGAUGGGCCUGCGGCGCAUUAGCUAGUUGGUAGGGUAACGGCCUACCAAGGCGACGAUGCGUAGCCGACCUGAGAGGGUGAACGGCCACACUGGGACUGAGACACGGCCCAGACUCCUACGGGAGGCAGCAGUAGGGAAUCUUCCGCAAUGGACGCAAGUCUGACGGAGCAACGCCGCGUGAGUGAUGAAGGUUUUCGGAUCGUAAAGCUCUGUUGCCCUAGACGAACAGCAAGAGGAGUAACUGCCUUUUGUGUGACGGUAUAGGAGAAGAAAGCCCCGGCUAACUACGUGCCAGCAGCCGCGGUAAUACGUAGGGGGCAAGCGUUGUCCGGAAUUAUUGGGCGUAAAGCGCGCGCAGGCGGUCAAUUAAGUUGGGUGUUUAAGCCCGGGGCUCAACCCCGGUUCGCAUCCAAAACUGGUUGACUUGAGUGUAGGAGAGGAAAGUGGAAUUCCACGUGUAGCGGUGAAAUGCGUAGAGAUGUGGAGGAACACCAGUGGCGAAGGCGACUUUCUGGCCUAUAACUGACGCUGAGGCGCGAAAGCGUGGGGAGCAAACAGGAUUAGAUACCCUGGUAGUCCACGCCGUAAACGAUGCAUACUAGGUGUUGGGGAUUCGAUUCCUCGGUGCCGAAGUUAACACAGUAAGUAUGCCGCCUGGGGAGUACGCUCGCAAGAGUGAAACUCAAAGGAAUUGAC